AAACGAUGUGGGAAGGCAUAGACAGCUAGGAGGUUGGCUUAGAAGCAGCCACCCUUUAAAGAAAGCGUAAUAGCUCACUAGUCGAGUCGGCCUGCGCGGAAGAUGUAACGGGGCUAAGCAAUAUACCGAAGCUGCGGAUGUGUGUAUUUAUACACACAUGGUAGGGGAGCGUUGUGUAAGUGGCUGAAGGCAAGCUGUGAGGCUUGCUGGACAUAUCACAAGUGCGAAUGCUGACAUGAGUAACGAUAAUGGGGGUGAAAAACCCCCACGCCGGAAGACCAAGGUUUCCUGUCCCAUGCUAAUCAGGGCAGGGUAAGUCGGCCCCUAAGGCGAGGCAGAGAUGCGUAGUCGAUGGGAAACGGAUUAAUAUUUCCGUACUUGGUAUAUCAGUGAAGGGGGGACGGAGAAGGCUAGGCAAGCACAGUGUUGGUUAUCUGUGUGAAAGUGCGUAGGGCGACAAUUUAGGUAAAUCCGGAUUGUCAUUCACCUGAGACACGAGACGAGACUCCACGGAGUUGAAGUUGUUGAUGCCAUGCUUCCAGGAAAAGCCUCUAAACUUAUGAUAUAUCGAACCGUACCCCAAACCGACACAGGUGGUCAGGUAGAGAAUACUAAGGCGCUUGAGAGAACCUGGGUGAAGGAACUCGGCAAAAUCGUACCGUAACUUCGGGAGAAGGUACGCUGCUGUUUGUGAUGGGACUUGCUCCCUAAGCGAAUGGCAGCCGCAGUGAAAUGGUGGCUGGAACUGUUUAUUAAAAACACAGCACUGUGCUAAAUCGAAAGAUGACGUAUACGGUGUGACGCCUGCCCGGUGCCGGAAGGUUAAUUGAUGGGGUUAGACUUAGGUCGAAGCUCUUGAUCGAAGCCCCGGUAAACGGCGGCCGUAACAAUAACGGU
rnacentral:rRNA from 1 species